GACAGAGGUGCCAAGCGUUAGGCGGAAUCACUGGGCUUAAAGCGCGUGUAGGCGGCCCGGCACGUCCGUCGCUGAAAUCCCCCGGCUCAACCGGGGAAGUGGCGGGGAUACGACCGGGCGUGGGAGGGGGGUAGGGGGAGCCGGAACUUCCGGUGGAGCGGUGAAAUGCGUUGAGAUCGGAAGGAACGCCCGUGGCGAAAGCGGGCUCCCUGGACCCCACCUGACGCUGAGACGCGAAAGCCAGGGGAGCGAACGGG
rnacentral:rRNA from 1 species